GAAAACGUGAUUUUAGCCUAUAUGGUUACAAAGUUAGAUAAAUGGGAAGGUUGAACGUGUCCCAUGAUUUAAAACAUGAUGUGAACCUAUUUGGUUUGUAUUCUGUUAAAUAAAAAUAUUGGAAUGACCUUUGUCGCGAAAAUGAGAUUUUGUCCUAUAUGGUUAAAUGUUUGAUAAAUUUGAAGGUUGAACUUGUCCUUUAAUGCGAAACAUGAUGUUUGUACCUAUUUUGUUUAAAUUCGGUAAAAUGAAAGUAUUGGAAUGAUCCUUGUUGCCAAAAUGAGAUUUUAGUCUACAAGUUUGACAAAUGAGAAGUUUGUACUUGUCCCUCAAUCUUUAUGUAAAACAUGAUAUUUGAAAAUAUUUGUUUUUAAAUUCGGUAAUUAGGAAGUAUUGGAAUGACCCUUGUCGCGAAAAUGAGUUUUUUGUCUAUAUGGUUACAAUGUUUGAUAAAUGGAAAGGUUGAACUUGUCCACUGAUUUGGAACAUGAUAUGUUAGCCUAUUUUGUUUUAAAUUCGGUAAAAUGUAAGUCUUGAAAAGACCUUUGUCGCGAAAAAUGAAAUUGUACUCUAUAUGGUUAAUAGUUUGAUAAAUAUGAAGGUUGAAUUUGUCCCUCGAUGUCCUAUGAUGAGUAACAUAAUAUUUGAACCUCUUCGGUUUUAUAUUCGGUAAACCGAAAGUAAUGGGAUGAUCCUUCUCGCAAAGACGAGAUUUUAGCUUAUGUGGCUACAAGUUUGAUAAAUAUGAAGGUUGGCCUUGUCCCUCGAUAUCCCUUGAUGCGUAACAAGAUAUUUGAACCUAUUUGGUUUUAAAUUCGGUAAAUAUAAAGUAUUGAGAUGACCCUUGUCGCGAAAACGUGAUUUUAGCCUAUAUGGUUACAAAGUUAGAUAAAUGGGAAGGUUGAACGUGUCCCAUGAUUUAAAACAUGAUGUGAACCUAUUUGGUUUGUAUUCGGUUAAAUAGAAAUAUUGGAAUGACCCUUGUCGCGAAAAUCAGUUUUUAGUUUAUAUGGUUACAAUGUUUGAUAAAUGGGAAGGUUGAACUUGUCCACUGAUUUGGAACAUGAUAUAUUAGCCUAUUUUGU
rnacentral:lncRNA from 1 species